rnacentral:rRNA from 1 species
CAGGCUUAACACAUGCAAGUCGAGGGGCAGCAUGGUCUUAGCUUGCUAAGACUGAUGGCGACCGGCGCACGGGUGAGUAACACGUAUCCAACCUGCCGUCUACUCUUGGACAGCCUUCUGAAAGGAAGAUUAAUACAAGAUGGCAUCAUGAGUCCGCAUGUUCACAUGAUUAAAGGUAUUCCGGUAGACGAUGGGGAUGCGUUCCAUUAGAUAGUAGGCGGGGUAACGGCCCACCUAGUCUUCGAUGGAUAGGGGUUCUGAGAGGAAGGUCCCCCACAUUGGAACUGAGACACGGUCCAAACUCCUACGGGAGGCAGCAGUGAGGAAUAUUGGUCAAUGGGCGAGAGCCUGAACCAGCCAAGUAGCGUGAAGGAUGACUGCCCUAUGGGUUGUAAACCUCUUUUAUAAAGGAAUAAAGUCGGGUAUGGAUACCCGUUUGCAUGUACUUUAUGAAUAAGGAUCGGCUAACUCCGUGCCAGCAGCCGCGGUAAUACGGAGGAUCCGAGCGUUAUCCGGAUUUAUUGGGUUUAAAGGGAGCGUAGAUGGAUGUUUAAGUCAGUUGUGAAAGUUUGCGGCUCAACCGUAAAAUUGCAGUUGAUACUGGAUAUCUUGAGUGCAGUUGAGGCAGGCGGAAUUCGUGGUGUAGCGGUGAAAUGCUUAGAUAUCACGAAGAACUCCGAUUGCGAAGGCAGCCUGCUAAGCUGCAACUGACAUUGAGGCUCGAAAGUGUGGGUAUCAAACAGGAUUAGAUACCCUGGUAGUCCACACGGUAAACGAUGAAUACUCGCUGUUUGCGAUAUACGGCAAGCGGCCAAGCGAAAGCGUUAAGUAUUCCACCUGGGGAGUACGCCGGCAACGGUGAAACUCAAAGGAAUUGACGGGGGCCCGCACAAGCGGAGGAACAUGUGGUUUAAUUCGAUGAUACGCGAGGAACCUUACCCGGGCUUAAAUUGCAGAUGAAUUACGGUGAAAGCCGUAAGCCGCAAGGCAUCUGUAAAGGUGCUGCAUGGUUGUCGUCAGCUCGUGCCGUGAGGUGUCGGCUUAAGUGCCAUAACGAGCGCAACCCUUGUUGUCAGUUACUAACAGGUUCCGCUGAGGACUCUGACAAGACUGCCAUCGUAAGAUGUGAGGAAGGUGGGGAUGACGUCAAAUCAGCACGGCCCUUACGUCCGGGGCUACACACGUGUUACAAUGGGGGGUACAGAGGGCCGCUACCACGCGAGUGGAUGCCAAUCCCAAAAACCUCUCUCAGUUCGGACUGGAGUCUGCAACCCGACUCCACGAAGCUGGAUUCGCUAGUAAUCGCGCAUCAGCCACGGCGCGGUGAAUACGUUCCCGGGCCUUGUACACACCGCCCGUCAAGCCAUGGGAGCCGGGGGUACCUGAAGUGCGUAACCGCGAGGAGCGCCCUAGGGUAAAACUGGUGACUGGGGCUAAGUC